rnacentral:rRNA from 1 species
CCUGCCGGCGACCGGCGCACGGGUGAGUAACACGUAUGCAACCUGGCCGCCACAGGGGGAUAACCCGCGGAAACGCGGCCUAAUACCCCGUGACGCCACCGGAGGGCAUCCUCCGGUGGCCAAAGGAGCGAUCCGGUGGCGGAUGGGCAUGCGGCGCAUUAGCUAGACGGCGGGGUGACGGCCCACCGUGGCGACGAUGCGUAGGGGUUCUGAGAGGAAGGCCCCCCACACUGGGACUGAGACACGGCCCAGACUCCUACGGAAGGCAGCAG